GUAUGAAACGGUGCCAUUUAAUACUUUGUAUAGGUAAAUCCUAGUUGUUAUGACUAGUCAUAACUUAUUUUUAAUUUCAAAGACAGCAAUUAAAAAUUGAAAUGCAGUUUGUACUCUUUUGAACUUGCAAGCCUGAUUACUAUUUCUAUUUCACAUUUUAAAAGCUUUAUAUAAAACCACUGAGACGAUACUUGGCAUGUUAAAUGUUUCACAGAAAAAUGAUGCAAAAUGUGCAUCUGGCUCCUGAUGCUGAUGAAGAUGAUCUGUAUUCUGGCUACAAUGAUUAUAAUCCCACGUUUGACACAGAGGAUUUAGAAAAUGAUGUAGCUUUUCAACAGGCAGCAAGAACGAGUCAUGGUAGAAGACCCCCUGGGACAGCCAAAAUUCUUGGUACACCAACUUCAAGACCUUUAGCUACUGGAUUUGGGGACGGUGUUGCUCGACCAAUGACAGCAGUGCGUGCUGCAGGUUAUACUAGGGCAGCUAUGAGAGGUUCUCCAUUUGAUCCUCUUGGUCAGGGAAGAGGUCCCGUUCCACCUCUGGAAGCAAAAAAUGCAGACAGUGCAGAAGAGAAGAUUAGGCAGUUGGAAAAAAAAGUGAAUGAACUGGUUGAAGAAAGCUGCAUUGCCAACAGCUGUGGAGACUUGAAAUUGGCUCUGGAAAAAGCAAGAGAGGCCGGGAGAAAGGAAAGAGUAUUGGUGAGACAACGUGAACAAGUUGCUUCUCCAGAAAACUUAGACCUCACUUACUCAGUUCUUUUAAAUCUGGCCUGUCAGUAUGCUGCUAAUGGAAUGUAUGCUGAAGCACUGAAUAGUUACCAAGUUAUAGUGAAGAACAAGUUGUUCACCAGUGGAGGUAGACUGAAGGUCAAUAUGGGAAAUAUAUAUUUAAAACAACAGAACUAUUCCAAAGCUAUUAAAUUCUACCGUAUGGCUCUAGACCAGAUUCCUAGUGUCCACAAAGAGAUGAGGAUUAAAAUAAUGGAAAAUAUUGGAGUUGCAUUUAUUAAAACUGGCCAAUACAUUGAUGCCAUUUCUUCAUUUGAAUUUAUAAUGAGCAUGUCCCCAAAUCUGAAGACAGGCUUCAACUUGAUCCUGUGUUAUUUUGCUAUUGGAAACUGUAAGCAAAUGAAAAAUGCCUUCCAAAAACUGGUUGCAGUUCCCUGCGAAGUGAAUUAUGAUGACAAAUACAUUUCACCAAGUGAUGAUCCACAUACAAACCUACUGAUCGAAGCUAUUAAAAAUGACAGCUUAGGACAAAUGGAACGUGAGAGGAAAUCCAUGGCAGAGGAAUACAUCAUGACAGCUGCUAAACUCAUUGCACCAGUAAUUGAGACAUCUUUUGCAGUGGGCUAUGACUGGUGUGUUGAAGCAGUAAAAACUUCCCAGUAUGUUGAGUUAGCCAAUGACCUGGAAAUAAAUAAAGCCACUACUUACUUGAGACAGCAGGAUUUUAAACAGGCACUGGAGACUUUAAAAAUGUUCGAGCAAAAGGAUAGCAAUGUAAAGAGUGCAGCGGCAACAAACCUUUCAUUCCUUUAUUAUUUGGAGAAUGAAUUGGCACAAGCAGCUAACUAUGCAGAUUUAGCUGUAAUUUCUGAUAGGUACAAUCCAGCAGCUCUAACUAACAAAGGAAAUACUAUUUUUGCAAAAGGAGACUAUGAAAAAGCAGCUGAGUUUUAUAAGGAAGCUCUCGGGAAUGAUUCCUCAUGCACUGAAGCGCUCUAUAAUCUUGGUUUAACAUACAAGAAGUUAAACAGAAUAGAUGAAGCUUUGGAUUGUUUUCUGAAACUCCAUGCAAUCCUUCGAAAUAGCGCCCAAGUCCUUCACCAGAUAGCAAACAUAUAUGAGAUCAUGGGAGAUCCCAAUCAAGCCAUAGAGUGGCUUCUGCAGUUGAUCAGUAUAGUACCAACUGAUCCGCAUGUACUUUCAAAGCUAGGGAAAUUAUAUGAUAAUGAAGGGGAUAAAUCCCAGGCUUUUCAUUACUAUUGUGAGUCAUACAGGUAUUUCCCUUCAAACAUUGAGGUCAUUGAAUGGCUUGGAGCCUAUUACAUUGAAACCCAGUUUUGUGAAAAAGCCAUUGAGUACUUUGAAAGAGCAGCACUUAUCCUACCAACACAAGAGAAGUGGCAUCUGAUGGUUGCCAGUUGCUACAGGAGAAGUGGUAACUACCAGAAAGCUCUAGAGAAAUACAAAGUCGUUCACAGAAAAUUCCCGGAGAACAUUGAAUGCCUCCGAUUUUUAGUUCAUCUUUGUACAGAUAUGGGUAUGAAAGAAGUCCAGGAAUACACAACAAAGCUCAAGAAAGUGGAAAAAUUAAAAGAAAUAAGAGAGCAGCGCGUUAAAUCUGGCAGAGAUGGCAGUGCACGUAGCCGCAGAGAAGGAAAUGCUAGUGGUGAAAUGUGAUAGUAACAUCCAGAAAUUGAAAGUUCAGGCACUGUGGGUUUUACUACACUAAGAGACUUUUCAAUAGCAUAAGGCCUUUCAUAGAUAAGGGAAAGUACAACUUUAAGGAAUACAUUACCAUAGGAGUGUUUACUUGGUCUCUGCAUUUGCCCUGCUCUGUGAAUGGUGAGUUUUGUACUGGAUGAGAGGAGCCAUGCAGUCUUGGACAUGAGCCCAAAGAAGCAGUGUUGAACUCAGUAGAUGAAAGGCUGAGCACUUCUCAUUCUCCUUGUUACUUCAGCCUAGCCAGAUGAAUUUGGAAAGGAAACCACGCAAGAAUAAUUUAGGUGUCUUUUUCCCUUUUUCAUUUUCAAUUGUGACAGUGUCAGUGGAGAAAUGGCUUUGUCCAUCUCAAACAAACAUCCCAUAGUCAGACACCCUUUACCAGCCCAUAGGGAUCUCCUCAUAUCAUAUGGAAGCACGUUAUAGAUGUCAGGGCUGUAAGCAUCUCAAUCUUGACUGUGAUACAGGCAAGUGGUUCUCUUGUUACCCUGUAGCCAGGACUUCAAAAUCAUUUAUAUUCUGUAGGUUUUGUGUGUCUGUUCACACUUCAUUAUUUACACAUCAUUGUGGGAUGGUUCUAUUGACUGAGAGGGGGGAGGAUUUAGUUUUUUUAUAAAUAGGGAAAAUAUCUGAGUGAAGAAAACAUCUAAAAUCUGUUUUCUGCAACUGAAAUCACCUAAGGAGCUAUCUGAACUGACAUACCAGAAACAGUGUUGAUUUUUAUUUAACAGAAUUUCAAAUCAAAAUGAACUUGCAUCUGCUUCCCAUGGCUGUUUCUCUGUUUUCACAUUCUGCCUGUUAACACUUAACUUGCUGUUCUCUUUGGUCAAACCAAAGCCCCCUCUUCUCCAAAGGUGGAGUCCUCAUCCCAAAUAUGAAAGAUAUACAGAGCUGCAUUUAAACACAUUAUGGAUUUAGUGAAGUACCUGUAGUCUUUCAAAACAUUAGCCCACUAUGCACUUUGUAGCAUAAACAUUUUCCAGAGGAGGUAGAUUACCAAACAACCUUACCUUUUGGUAUCUUUAAUACCAGUAAAAUGGUACUAAAAAUUCUAAUUUAUGUCCUUUGUAAUACUGGCGGAAUUUCUAAUACAGUAUCCAUCACUGUAAUUGCAAACAGUGAGAGUCCUUAAAAAAAAAAAAAAAAAGUUUUCAUUAGGUAAGUUUUAAACAUGCCAGUAACCUGCUCCAGCACAGCCUGCUGCCCCUUAACACAGCAUGCGGCAGGGCAGAAAGGGGAGGGUACUCCUUUCUGUGGUGAAGUGAGGCUAGAUUGGUAGGUUCAGAGUAAAUGAAAGAUGGAACUCCUUAUCUCAGUUUGUUCUGGAUACAAAAAUUUCACAGGGGCUUAAGGGAAGACUGAACAAGUUCUUGAAGAAUAAAUCAAUCAACCCAUUAUUAAAUAUGAAGAGCAGCCCCCAAGCAUAUGCUUGAUUUACAGAUUGUUGGGAGGCUAGGAAAUUAUUCUUGGAGAGCUACUAUAUAUGCUUGCUCUACUUGUGAUUCUCUUCCCUGAGCAUCUUGUCAUACUUUUGUAUGGACAACAAGCCAGUUUAGAUAGAUCUUUAAUCUAUUAAGGUAUCCUUAUGUUCUUAUAUUUUAAGCGUUCAGAGGAUACUGUGCCCAUGGGCGUUUACUCUUCAUAGUUUUUUCCAUGGUGCAUUUAGUCAAGGUGGGAUAUACUGAUCAAAUAACUUGCAACUUCAGGGAAGAACAGUCCAGCCCCUCUCAGCAUUUCUUUUCUUUCCCAUUCCUGGGCAUGUAUUCUUGCUGAUUCCCUUGAGCUGCUUCUAGCUUUAAUCUAACCAUUCAGUGAGUUGGUUAAGUGCAUUAAACACAGUAAAUAAUGUGUUUGGGCAACUGAAUAAAGUCUGAAACCUAAAAAAACUACAUUUGUGUGAACAGCUAAAUUUAUUCACUGUAACAGCACUCACAAUUCCAUUUACUGUACUGACUCAUAAAUGGAAAGAGAAGCUUGGCCACCAGGAUUACAUGCUGAACAUCAGGCAGGCAUCUUGCUGCUCAGGAUGGCUGUUUUGGGCAUCUCAAUCACAGCACUAAGUGCUUAAGAAACAUCAGAGCUGUGGGGGGUGGGGGGGGACAGCAGUUGGUGAGUUUUAGAUACUUCAAGGGUUGGACAUCCAGUAGAUGGAGAGAGAAAAGAGGGGGACAUUCAGCUUCAAAUUUUGGACAUACUGCUUCAUUCCCAUCUUGGAUGUAGUCCUAAUAAAACUUAAAGGUCCUAGAAUGCCCAAGAAUGCUUCUGUUUUCAGUUGGUUUAAGGCAGUAAGAUGUACAGGUAACUUCCAGUGUUAUGUUUGUUGCAGCCAUUUUGGUUUGACAGCUAUACUUUUUUUUUUCUUCUUUUAGUUAAUAUAAAAUCUUUUGCCUUCCUCUGGUACUAUCACUAAAAGCUAUGUGUUUUUCUCCUUCACAGUUGAAAACCUGUGAUACGCCAGCUUCUUCCUCUUUUAUUGUCAUUAAAACCAGUUCUUACUUUCUGGCACCAACCAACUAAACCUAUGGAGUUUAUCUCAUUAGUUCAGUCUUCCCCUAGUGGUGUUGCUGCUGUAUUGCUCCUGUCUUUGCAUUUCCUUGCUGCUUCUUCCAACUUUAUUCAUCAGUUUCUAAAUUACUUGUUUUCCAUUGCACAAGAGUUUGUGCCUGCUUCUAUCCUACUCUUUCUCUCCCUGUUAAAACAUUUUGUAUUCUUCUCUAAACUGUCCACAGAAUGUUUUCACCCAUACAAUCUUUGAAGCUCAGUGCACACUUCCAUGUUGUGCAGGGGUGUCCAAAGCCCACUGAAAUCAAGACGCAGCCCUUUUGUCAUUUCACAACCUGUUUGUUGAGCCCUCCCAAUCAAACCCAUUGAUUUCUUUAAGUUCCUUCAAAUCCUUCAUCAAGCAUUCACUUCUUCUAUUAAACCUAUCAGUGAGAAUUGAUCCAAGGGAGGCUGAUGUACAUUAAAAUAGAUUUUCCAUGCUUCAACGCUUUGACUGUAAUUUGUGUCUUGUAAACAUAUUAAGUGUUUAACAUGUGACUGUAUUAAAUCUUUCUUGGAGCAGAGACAUUGUCCUGCAAUUCUGAGUAAACUGAAGUCUGCAGUGAUGUUUAUAGAGAAAUAAAGGUUUGUCGUCUUUGUGGAAGAGGGUUUGGGUUUGGUUUGCUUUUUUUUUUUUCUUAAUAGUAACAGCAUUUAUAAAAAGAACAUUUAUAGUAAACAAGACAAUGGAAGUGUGUCGCCAAGUCCAGACUUUGUAAUGCAUGUUUGCUGAAUUAAACCCAUUUUUCCUCCAUAUAGAUGGAGGAGUUUUAGUAAUAGCAUUGUUCCGUAUUGUAAAUAAGCGUGUUUGCAUUUGGCUGUGUGGCAUAUCCUGCCUUGUAAAUAUAGCAAGCCAAACGUGAAAAGUGUUCUCGUAGGAGAAAAAUUGCAUUAAAAUUUGUUGUAGCAGAAGAGAUUGAAAACUUGCCAUGAAUGCAAGAAAGAGAUUCAGAGGCGGACAGAAUAUUUAAAAUGUCUGGAAUACUGCUGUGGCAAGAGAAUGUUAGUCUGACAUUGUCUGGGCAGGAGGCAGCCCUUGGAGCUGACACAUUCCUUGGGGCCCUGCUGCAAACUGAGCUGCCAGCACAGUGUUUACAGCAAGAUGCAGGGCCAGGAUGGUCUGUGUACAUGAACUGUACCCGCCUGCCAUGCAGACAGCACGUGCCAAAUAUACUCUUCUAAUUAAAAGCAAUCUUAGUGUUGUAUUUAAUCUUGACAUUUUGCAACAGGUUGAUCAUACUAACAUAUUAGUAAGCACACAGAUAUAUGGAAUGUCCAUAUACAUUGUGACAGUGUUUAUAUUUAUCAUGCUUAUUUUAACUCCAAAAUGUGACCGUAAUUUAUAAGCAACUGAAAUGUCCUCAUUGGAAGCAGAAAUAUUUUAAUGUGUGUACUCCAAAGUAAAUAAGGCUGUAUAUGUAUAUGUAUUUUAAAACACACGUGUAGACACAGUGUCCGUUGUGUUUUAAUGACCACUAUUACAAAUAAGUACUGUAUCCAUCAUGAAAAGAUGGUUUCAUCCAAAUCUUGUUUGACAGAUAGUAGCUGAAUUUACGUUGCCCUUGUAUCAUGAUUUCACAGAAUGUAACAGCAUGCUAUUUGUCUUCAACUUCUCCCCCCUCCCAGAUGGUGGCACCAAAGGGGAAAGGCUGAAUGCCAGACUAAAAGCUUUUCCUGAAACAAGUGAACCCUAUGAAAGUAGCAUCUGUAAAGAAAUAGAUGUCUCCUACAUAGAUCCACUUGGCCCACAAGCAGAAAGACCAAAAACUGCUGCAAGAAAAAGGGCUGAGGAAGAUGACUUUGCUGAUGAAGAGCUAGGAGAGGAUAUGCUUCCAGAGUAGCAUAUGGUCCACUCACAACAUCUUAUCCUUUUAAAUUUUUUAGCAAAAACACUUUGAUCCAUUAUGACCUGGAUUUUGAUAAAAUCUUUGUGAAACACUUUGGGUAUAUGGUAUCUUACAUUAAACACAUGGAUUUGAAGUUGCAA